UACGUAGGGGCCUAGCGUUGUCCGGAAUUAUUGGGCGUAAAGAGCUCGUAGGCGGUUCGGCAAGUCGGAUGUGAAAUCUCCACGCUUAACGUGGAGGGGCCAUUCGAAACUGCUGUGACUCGAGUCCGGUAGGGGGGUGUGGAAUUCCCGGUGUAGCGGUGAAAUGCGCAGAUAUCGGGAGGAACACCAGUAGCGAAGGCGGCACUCUGGGCCGGUACUGACGCUGAGGAGCGAAAGCGUGGGGAGCGAACAGG
rnacentral:rRNA from 1 species